GACGUGGGGGUCUAUGUAUUUCACAUGCACAACUGCAUGCAUUGUGUGUGCUGCAGGACUCAGAGUGCUCCACCCCCCCGUGCAUAUAGAACAUGUCCCGGCCUCCUAUAAAAACUUUACAUCGUGGACACAUUGUACUAUCCAGCCUAACGCCGACUGAACAUCUCCAAAUCCGCACAGAAACCAGGUGCAUCUGUAGGUCUUAAGAGCCCCCCCCCCCCAGCUCUUCUCUCUGUUUUGACCCAACUCGCACCACAUCAACAGACAUGAUCAUCAGACUGGGCAGACUGACACCUGGAUACUUCCGCCUCCUCCAGAGGCAAGUUGCCGGUGAGGUGCAGACGCAGCCACAAGACCGUGCCAUCAACCAGAUAGCCAUGAUGCUGGCCAUCAUGGGCCUGAGUUUGUCCUACUACAGUGCCAAACAGAUGACUGAGAAGGUCCACGUCCAGCCUGCGCCCUGAAGAGACACGGCUACUCUGAUGAUAGAGAUGAUGGAUGAGCCAAUGAGAAGUGAAGGAGUUGGAGCGAGAUUUGGGGGGGGAGGGAAGACACAGCAGAGACACAGCGGUGUCUUCCAGGACCACACUUUUCCGACCUCACAGUCAUAGUCGCACACAGACACUGAAUUUCUGGGAUCCCUCAACCUGCGCAGAGACUUCCGGCCCGUGCGAAGUGAUUUCUAUUGUUUCUACUGUUGGGACCUGGGGAGGGGGUUUGGGAAUGGAUCACUUGGGGUCUUGGAUAAGACUGGUUUUAUGGACUGGUUUGGGUGCGUGAUCAAAACAAGCUGACUGCCAACUGGGUCUGACUGUUAGUUGCUUCAAAGGUACAUGCUUGCAAGAUGCUGGCAAUACUGUUCUUAGCUACAAAAAGGGAAACGUACACUAAUAACUGUGAAUUUUGCUCAAAGCCUGAAACAACAAAUGAGGUUAAAUGAUGAACAGUAAUGUCCUCUUCUAAAGAAAAGGCUGACUGCAAUUGAGAUGUACCUUGUAACAAAGUGAUGUCAGACCCAUGUUUUAGCAGGAUGAAAAUUAGCCCAACCCUGUUUUUAGGUUUUCUAUAUGUUCCUUUGAGAGAACCUUGCAGAGCCUUGAUAUCAGAUGGGUAUCUGUUUUCACAAACUGUCAAUAUGAUGUACUUGUGAGAUGUAUCUGCCAGGUGUCAGAAAUUCAGUGAAUAUUUGCGCAACAGUGCAGAAAAGAAUCUAACUGCAACAAUAGAUCUGAACUGGGUUUUCAAACUUACUACCUUUUUUUUCUUUUAUUAAAUAGUUUUUGUUUCCAGUGAUUUCAAACGGUUUUAACACAAACCGAUGAAGUCCUGUUUAUAUGAUGUGUGACUACCUUAAUAAGCACCCUGGUUAAGAACCCUUCCUGCAAUAUAAUCUGCUACAUGUGAAUGCAAACAUUUAACUACACUGAACAUUGCAUGGGUGUGCAGAAUUUUAAUCAAUGCGAAAUGUAUGUUUCCUGGUUUUAUGAUGAAUGUAUUACUUUAUUUUGUAAUGAUUUAAUAAAGCUGUGAAUAUUUUGAAUCAGA